AUAGAAAUGAGUCUGGAGGAGAGGGCAGGCAGGGUGGGCCUCCCUGAGGAAGUGAUGUUUCAGAGGAGCCUCAGGACUGAGCAGGAGUCAGCCUGUCUGAAGGCACUGCGUGAUCCAAUCAGACGAGAUUCAUUAUUACUCAGCUCGCUCCACUGACUGCGACAGAAAAGGAGACACACGCUUACUGAAAGAUUUUUGACACAAAGGCGGCAAAGGGCCUGGAGUGAGUGCACUGGGGACGCCGUUCAGAAGGACGAAAGAAUGAAUUCCACAGUCUUCAAAGCAUUUGCACAUCCAUCAAGGGACGGUAG
rnacentral:lncRNA from 1 species